rnacentral:rRNA from 1 species
GCGAAGAACCUUACCUGGGUUUGACAUAUACCGGAAAGCCGUAGAGAUACGGCCCCCCUUGUGGUCGAUAUACAGGUGGUGUAUGGCUGUCGUCAGCUCGUGUCGUGAGAUGUUGGGUUAAGUCCCGCAACGAGCGCAACCCUUGUCUUAUGUUGCCAGCACGUAAUGGUGGGGACUCGUAAGAGACUGCCGGGGUCAACUCGGAGGAAGGUGGGGACGACGUCAAGUCAUCAUGCCCCUUAUGUCCAGGGCUUCACACAUGCUACAAUGGCCGGUACAGAGGGCUGCGAUACCGUGAGGUGGAGCGAAUCCCUUAAAGCCGGUCUCAGUUCGGAUCGGGGUCUGCAACUCGACCCCGUGAAGUCGGAGUCGCUAGUAAUCGCAGAUCAGCAACGC